rnacentral:rRNA from 1 species
GACGAACGCUGGCGGCGUGCUUAACACAUGCAAGUCGAACGGAAAGGCCCUGCUUUUGUGGGGUGCUCGAGUGGCGAACGGGUGAGUAACACGUGAGUAACCUGCCCUUGACUUUGGGAUAACUUCAGGAAACUGGGGCUAAUACCGGAUAGGAGCUCCUGCUGCAUGGUGGGGGUUGGAAAGUUUCGGCGGUUGGGGAUGGACUCGCGGCUUAUCAGCUUGUUGGUGGGGUAGUGGCUUACCAAGGCUUUGACGGGUAGCCGGCCUGAGAGGGUGACCGGCCACAAUGGGACUGGGAUACGGCCCAGACUCCCACGGGAGGGAGGAGGGGGGAAAAUUUGACAAAGGGGGGAAGCCUGAGGCAGCAACGCCGGGGGGGGGAAGACGGCCUUUGGGUUGGAAACCCGUUUUGCCUGUGAAGAAGGGGGAGGGACGGGAAUGGGUAAAGAAGCCCCCGCUAAAUACGUG